GUGGGGAAUCUUCCGCAAUGGACGAAAGUCUGACGGAGCGACGCCGCGUGAGUGAAGAAGGCCUUCGGGUCGUAAAGCUCUGUCAUCAGGGACGAACGGCCGGUGGAGUGGAAAGCCACCGGAUUGACGGUACCUGAGAAGGAAGCCACGGCUAACUACGUGCCAGCAGCCGCGGUAAUACGUAGGUGGCAAGCGUUGUCCGGAAUUAUUGGGCGUAAAGCGCGCGCAGGUGGGAUCUUAAGUCCAUUUUUAAAGUUCGGAGCUCAACUCCGUGAUGGGAUGGAAACUGGGAUUCUUGAGUACCGGAGAGGAAAGCGGAAUUCCCCGUGUAGCGGUGAAAUGCGUAGAUAUGGGGAGGAACACCAGUGGCGAAGGCGGCUUUCUGGACGGUGUCUGACACUGAGGCGCGAAAGCCAGGGGAGCGAACGGGAUUAGAAACCCUUGUAGUCC
rnacentral:rRNA from 1 species